rnacentral:lncRNA from 1 species
GGCCCACAGUGAACCGGGCCCACAGUGAACCGGCCCAUGUUGGGCCCUGUUCGGCCCGUAGGGCCAUCUUCCUCCCCCAAUCCCCCCCACGGCAGGGGAUGACCGAGAGGGAGAGCGGAAGAGGAAGGGGGCGGCGGGGUGGCCAGAGGCCACCCCUCGGUCGACGGCCAGCCGGCCGCAGUGGCGGCUGGCGGCCGUUGCGGUGGCCGGGGUCAAGAUCCAACCGAGAUGGUCUCGGUUCAUGAGGCCAAAACAAAGGAAGGGAAGCUUUCUAUUUGGCAUGGAAUCAAGGGCAAAAGAGGAGGGCUUACCGGCGGUGGCAGAGGCAGUGGGAUCUCGGUCGAGGCUGCUCAAUCCGGCGAUCAAGCAGUGGCGACGGCGACGGCGACGCUUUCCGAAAGGGAAGUGGAUCCCAAAACAGGGGAGGGCACGGGUGGUGAUGGUGGUGGAUCCGGCGGCCCGCAAGCCACUUGGGAGGCAAGAGCAGAGGAAGAAGAGGGAGGAGAAGGAGGAGAGGAGGGGGGUUCGGUGGUGCCCUAGGGAAGAAAGGGUGGGGUUUUUAUCAUCCCCACCAUAACGGCCCUCCGCCGCGAAAAUCGCGGCGGUCGGGCGAGAUCCGCGGCCGUGAAUUGGCCGCGGAUUGGCUAGGGGGGGCGCCGCGGAAUACCCGCGGCGUCCUUGCCCCUUUUGGUCCCCCGGAGGAGCCGGAGAGGAUGGCAAUCCUCUCCGGUUCCUCCCAUAUCAGGAUCGGGGCUGAAGUCGGC